rnacentral:sRNA from 1 species
GCCAGGUGCUGUUGUGCUCACCUGUAAUCCCAGUGGCCCAGGAGGCUGAGGCAGGAGGAUUGCAAGUUCAAAGCCAGCCUCAGCAAUGGUGAGGUGCUAAGCAACUUAGUGAGACCCUGUCUCUA